UCCUUAUAUGGUUACUUAAAUAUCUAUCCAACGUUCUUAAUAUGUAUAUUAAGUACAAAUACAUACAUGCUUGAGCAUAUAUUAGAUUCCAAUAUAAAUUAAGAAUCUUCUAUAUUUCUUAAAUUCAAAAGUUGCUUUUAAGACAAUGACUUAGACAACUUAUUUUCUUUAGCUACAAGCUUUUCGCCUGGUAUAGUAUCUUUCAUGCCAAAAGUUUUGAAUACUUUAUUGAUAUACUUCUUUUGUUAUAAUUCAGGAACAUAUCUUGAAUUCCUGAUACAAAAUAAGUAUAUCAUCAGUGGUAAGUAAUUUUUUUUACCAAUAUAAUACCAAGAUCAUAUUCUUAAUCCUACUGAAUUUGUGAUAUAUACACAAUCAUCAAAAGCUUUUAUCUCAAAUACCAAAUGAGAGAAUACUUAAUGAAAUUUGUGUAAUCAUUGACGAACCAUAUUCUUUGGAUCUUUGUAUCAUCAAAGCUUAUUUGAGUUUAUACAUAGAUUUUCCUAAUUUGCAAACCAUAUUCUUUGAAUCUUUGGACACAAAGUUUUCUUGUUGCACAGAUAACUUUUGUCAUCAAUAUCUAUCCUUUGAAGUUGUUGUCGAGGAACAAAUUUGGAGGCGCCUUCAAGGUUUAGCUCAAACUUUUUGCUGCCUCUCACUCCACUCCAUCACUCUCGCUCUCCUUCUUCGCUCUACUGUCCUGCUCAACCUACUUGGGUCGUCAGGCCACCAGCCCCAUCGUACUAGCCCGAGACAACCUCACCCCAGCCUACAUCUUUCCUCUCUUCCUGGUUGCCUACAAAUCAUUAUCGAAAUGCUCUGCCUUCCAUCCUUCGCGUGAGCUCUCUGCCCAGUUCCGACCCACCGUUUUCGGCCGCAGACAGUGGAUAUCAACACCAGUAACCACCACGAAGAGAACGAGCGAAGAUAGACUUAUGUCUUGAUUUAGAAGAAGAGGAAGGCCAAGGAAGCAGCCGAAAGGAAUUGUAAAAAGAGGUUCUCACCAACAAAAGCUCAUUUUAUGAAGGCCAAACAAGAAUGAAGCUGAGGAUGAUUAAAAUGAUAACUGGGACAAUAAUCAGGUAGAGCUUCCAUAUUGAUCUGCGUGGAAAUAAAAUAAGCACCUGAAAAUCAAGCCAAAAUAAUAGUUGAACUGUUGACCAAAUACACAUUCAGAUUAGCCCAGAACCUUUAGGCUUUUGUACUAAGCUGUUAGUUAUUUUUAAAACUGUCUCUUUGGCAAAAGAUAAUUCGAGCUUUAUCCUUUGAUAUGAAAAGUGAGAACUUUGAAGAUUACAAAUCAUACACUAAUUUCUUUACAUAAAUAAGAUUCCUUUACAUGCACCAGACAAAUUAAGACUUUUGAUUACAAACUUACUAUAAUUUUGGGUUUACUUCUUGACUACCAAUGUUUUCAUCCUAAUUUCUAUUAACAAUUUAGUCAUACGUUUGGGAUGAGUUGUGUCAAUAUCUUAACAAAAAUAGGGCCUUUCUAAACAUGUCAAUAUCACGUUGCAACUAACUCAGAAUGCAGUCCCUUGCAAAAGCAGUCUAAGUCCUCUGGAGAAAACCAGUUCCUUUCCAU